CUAAUGAUUUGAGCCACUCUGUGAUGGCUGGAGCAGUGAGGGCCUGGUGGUGGGCAGAACGUGUGGAGACGGCCAAGUGGUGGUGAAGGCGCUGGCCGGCAAGGAGCACCAGCUGGGACCCCAACAUGGCUCUGUCACUCGCCAUAGCGAUGUGAGCAACUGCCUGGGAAAGUUGGGUGACGUCAUCUGGAUUCUUGUGCCAUGCAGCCGCCAGUUCCCAGGCCAUGUUGGUGAGCACAGAGUCACCUGCUACUGAGUGAGGGAACUUGUCUCCCACAUUCUCUAGCAACUCUGCAAACAUGGCACUGAAUAAAUGACUGGUGUCCAUCUCUAGCAAGUUUGUGGGGUGGCGUGGACUCCUCGGCACAGCAGUGCAGCCAAAUAGGCGUGAUAAGGCUGCUCGGAGGCCACCAGUUUGUCCCUCACCACAGUCCACCACUCACUCUGUUCACUUACGUCACUAACGAUCUUGCUUUCUGUUGGAGCUGUAUGUCUGCUUUAAGCUGUGUGGGCAGAGCCGAGGUGCCCACGUCUCUGGCCAGGACCCCAACAGACACAUCCCAACACCGGAUAUAUGACCCAAUGCUCAGCACCAACUCAGCCUCAGGAAACCUCACCUAAGACAGAUAUAACGUUCAGACAUUUCACAUUUAUGCCUAUGUAGAUAUGAUUCUGUUUUGAGAGUUUGAAUAACAUAAAAUAUACUCAUUUA